UCCUGGAGUGUGUGGCCUCGGGGACACUCCUGACAGAUGGGCCCGGGCUCCAGGAUCCCUGCGAGAGAGACCAGAGGGACGUCCUCGGGUCCAUGACCCCCCAGCAGCGCGAGGACAUCACGGCCAAUGCCCAGCACGCCCUGCGCUUGUUGGCGUUCCGGCAGAUCCACGCGGUCCUGGGCAUGGAGCGUCUGCCACCCCCCAGGAGCAGGCCGGGGCCGCGCUGCCGCAAGAGGCUGCGGGAGGCGGGUGCAGCCCCCGAGGACGAAGUCCAGAGGAAGCAGGGCCGGCUGGGCGGAGAGGGGCCCGCCUGAGCAGCCUCACCCCUGCAUGUGAUUCCCCAGAUUCAUCCUAACGUCGGACCGUCGUGUUUUCCUUUCCAGGAAUGCUCUGGGGGUUUCUUUAAAAACACUUGUGUUUAAAUCGCCAGCGAAACCAUGUUACCGGGGAAUGAGAGCUGCCUGGGGCUGCCCCGUCCCCACCCCGAGGCCCCCACGGCGGGUAGAAGGUGCGGCCCAGUGAUGGUAAACCCUGGUGUCUCUCGCUUGCUUUACACUCACCCUGUGGCCUAAGCCUGUGGGUU
rnacentral:lncRNA from 1 species